UAAAUACUCCCUCCGCCCGGAAAUACUUGUCAUCAAAAUUGAUGAAAAUAGAUGUAUCUAGAACUAAAAUGUCUAGAUACAUCCUUUUUUAACUAUUUUGAUGACAAGUAUUUUCGGACGGAGGGAGUAUAAG
rfam:Triticum aestivum genome assembly, contig: Triticum_aestivum_CS42_TGACv1_scaffold_527798_6DL